rnacentral:rRNA from 1 species
UACGAAGGGGGCUAGCGUUGCUCGGAAUCACUGGGCGUAAAGGGUGCGUAGGCGGGUCUUUAAGUCAGGGGUGAAAUCCUGGAGCUCAACUCCAGAACUGCCUUUGAUACUGAGGAUCUUGAGUACGGGAGAGGUGAGUGGAACUGCGAGUGUAGAGGUGAAAUUCGUAGACAUUCGCAAGAACACCAGUGGCGAAGGCGGCUCACUGGUCCAUAACUGACGCUGAGGCACGAAAGCGUGGGGAGCAAACAGG